UACGGAGGAUGCAAGCGUUAUCCGGAUUCAUUGGGUUUAAAGGGUGCGUAGGCGGAAUGAUAAGUCAGCGGUGAAAGCCUGCAGCUUAACUGUAGAAAUGCCAUUGAUACUGUCGUUCUUGAAUGCGGUUGAGGUAAGCGGAAUAUGUAAUGUAGCGGUGAAAUGCGUAGAUAUUACAUAGAACACCGAUUGUGUAGACAGCUUACUAAGCCGUGAUUGACGCUGAGGCACGAAAGCGUGGGGAUCAAACAGG
rnacentral:rRNA from 1 species